AGAAAGAAUAACAAGGAUAUUUCUUGGUGAGACGGCAAGAACACCCAGCCUGCCUUCUCAACCUUCACCCAAAUGAGAUUUUUUUUCUUUUUAAUAAAAGGGCUUCCAUGAGUAUUCGAGAGAUAAAACACUGAGCAGUAUUUCUUGGAGUUCUCUGAAGAAAGAUGCCAGUGGAACAAAGAACAGCACAGUUAAUGCUCUCAGUAACUUACAAUUAUGGCCCUAAUGCAAGAACCAAAGCUGAUAAUUCAGGUCCAGAGUACCAAAUUCCAUAAUGAUCCUCCAGAGAGGAAGAAAUGGAAGCAAAGUUGUGCCAAAAAAGAUUUAUUCUAAAUUUAAAAGAAAGAAAAUUAUUUUUGGCUGCGAUAGUUUUUCUCUGUCUGUCCCUAAAAAUGGGGAUGGUUGGCCAUUAUCAGUUGACUGGAAGAAACCGAAGCAAGCUGCUGAAUUUACAAGUGGCUUUUUCAAAGAAGUUUACAGCACAGGGAAUUGGAAUAAUUUGUCUACUACUCACCGUCACUGCUGAAACUCGGAUUCGUACAAGUGCUGGGAAAAGCUGUUUUUCAGAAUGUGCAAUGAUUCUCAUUUAUGGGAGGGCUGCAAGGUCAAAUUUUUUAAACAGUCUCCAAUUCCAAUUUGGAUUCAUUUGGAAGAAAGAAUUUCAAAGGACAAAAAGAGUACAAAUGAGGAGUGUCAUCAGAACCAGUGGAAUCUAG
rnacentral:lncRNA from 1 species